UUAAACUUUAUUCUUUUGGUCUGCUCAGAGAUCCAUCGGAAACAAGAGUUUAAUGAUACCUCCGGCGGGGCCUGGGCCAUAUACGAUAUAUAUGCACCGCGGAGCCCGCCGAAGCAACGAUUCGAAGGUAGAUAUCACACGGGUUGGAGCUUUUGAAGACUCGUUAAUGAUCCCUCCGCUGGUUCACCAACGGAGA
rnacentral:misc_RNA from 1 species